UGGAAUCAAGGUAGUUAUUUCUGAGUAUAAUUCAAGUACAAGAAUUAUAGUGUCACUGUUUUCUGAAAAGUAUAUAUGCUAUAUAAAUGGCAUGGUUUCAUUUUAUUUUUCAAAUCACUAAAAUGUGUGAUAUAUUUUAUUUUUCCAAAUUAUCAAGAUAUAUCAGAAUUACAUGCUUUGUACUCAUCUGAUACAUGGCAAAAAUGGAACUUUCUAAUUCGUUAGACUUUUAUACCAAUCAUCUAGUAUUUGCAGAAGUAUUGAGACUCAUAAACUUUUAAAUUUAUAAUUAUAGUGCAAAUCCUGUUGUCUUACAAUGAAGAUGACACAUUGAGAGUUUAUAAAGGGAAUCAUGGAGCUCAGAAUUUUUCAUAUUUUUUUUAAAUCCCAGAGGAGCAAUUUAUAAACACUUUAUAUUUACUCUGUUCUCAGAACAGUUGCCUGUUUUAUCAUUUGAAUUACACAUUUAAAAAAAAUGACACAUUGGGUAUUCAGUUGGCUUUCUGAGACUUUUAAUGAGGCUAAUAAUUCAAAGCUUUUUCUUUUUUUUUAAAAAAAAUCAGCAUUCAUGAAGAUUUUGUACUACCUCUUGGAAUACAUACAAAAUUUUGUAUGUGUUCCCUUAUUGCAUGACAAUAUUCAAGACAACUUUGUAAAUAAUAGUCAAGUUCAAAAUUUUAACAUCUAGUCUUUCUAGAUGUAUAGAGUGUCACAGGGUAUAAUUUUGUAAAUAUAUCAGUAUAAGCUUUCAUGCUUUUUAAUUUUUUUGAGUGUGAUUUUUUUUUAAAAAUUGAUCUUGUUUGUUACUUGUUAAUAAAUAACAGAGAGGAAUGAGAAAAAGUAUUUUAAGUUCACCUUUGGCUACUCAUCUCCUGGAAAAAUUUCAUUAACCUUAGUGAAAGGCUUUUGUAACACUCAAAACUGUUUAUAAUGGCAUAAAUUAUAGUCAUGUGGUUGUAGUAAUGAAAGGACAUUAUCUAAACAUUUCCAUUUAGGCAUUAUAGGAAAUAUCUCUUGCAAGAGUUUGUCUACCUUUGUGAUUGAGUUAAUACACUGUUAUAUUUAUGGUGCAUGACAGCACUCAAGACAUACUGUAAAUAUAUACAUAUAUUUAUGCCAGUUUGAAAUAUCCAUUUUUACAGAUGCAUUCUUAACACAAUAUAAGCCUGUAAAUCUUUCAUUGUGACCUAACAUUAAUUAAAUUAAACCAGUAAAUUCUUUUAUGAUGGAAUAAAUACUAUUAAAGUGUUAAGUAUAAAACUUUAUGAAUAGUUUCUCAUGUAGAGAAGAAUAAGCCAGUUUUUAUAUACUGUUUACAUGAAACAAAAUUACAGGAAAAAAAUUAGGUGCUUUUUAUCUCAAAGAUAAAUGAACUGUGAAAAACUAUUUGUAAAUGUUAAGUUAAUUAGAAAAAUUUUCAAAAUCGUUGUUACUUCAUGAUUUACCAUUGGCACACUUACUUACUUUUACUUGCACUGAUUGCAUUCACAUAUUUAAGUUAUAAAAGUAUAUAGAUUACAUACUUUUUGAUUAUGUUUAUAUUGUGCAUUUUGAUUCAUAUUCUGGUUUACAAAUUAUAAAGAUAAUAUUUUAUUUAUAAUUCAGUUAAUUCUGCAAUCUCCAUGAUAUGACUAAAUUCAUUUUGUGGUAAAUACAUAUCCUGUAACUUUUCUAAAUGUUUUAAGUGUUUAUAUAUAUCUUUAAGCAAUUUUAAAAUUUUGUAUAUUUUCAUCUAGUAUUAAUAAAGGUAAAUAUCUAGUGUACUGUAUGAAAAAACAGCCUGUAUCACGUUAAAAGCAAUCAAGAGAAAUUAAAAUCAGAGUUAGGAUUAAUGAGUAGCAUUUAUCCCAGCACCUUUCAAGAUUAUACACAGCUCCAUACUCAGUUUGAGGACAGCUUGGGCUCAUUAGGCCUUUUGUCAAAAGAAAGUGUGAAAACAAAGAAAAACUGAACACCUCCCUUCAAAACAAAAGGAAUUGUAAGAAUAUGAUUUUUUUUGUUCCAAUUUUAAAGUUAUCUCCUAAGAUUUCACUAUUUGUGAUUCUUAAAUGUAAUUUGAUUUUUUUUUUUUGUUGGACAGUAAGAUAGCCAAAUACCAGAUCUACGAAAGAGCAUUACAGCUUAAGGUGAAUGUAAUUUAACAGUGAAAUAUUCUCUAGAGGUGGGGUGUUGUAUUAUAAACUAAAAGAAGAAACAAGUUGCCUUCUUGUAGACAUAUUUUAGUUCAUACUAAAAUAGUUAAGAAAUUCCUGAUUAUGCGUAUGUUGUGUCAUUAAGGAAGUAAAUACUUUUGUAUCAUGAUAUGUAUUAUUUUACAGUAAUAAUUGAAGAUUUGUGAAAAUCAAUUAAACUAUACAUGCUUGGAAAUGGCCACAUGAGACCAUAUUGAAUGAACAAUUUAUUCCAACAGAAAACAUGUUCAGGAAGAAUGUUAAAAUUUUAACACUUGUAAAUAGGAAGAAGAUGACAUUUGCCAGUCUUUGUACUUUAUGAGGGUAUUCGCAAAUAAGCAUCAAAACAAGAAGAAAAUAUUAAAAGGACAUUUUGUGCCAGUACAUCAUGGUUGUGCUGGAUUACCUACCCAACUCUGUAUAAUGGUUUUUCAAACAAUUUGUGAAGAAUGUUAGAAUCUUCAGAGUCUUCUGCAUCAGCAAAGAGUAGUGAAACUAAUGGAAAAGAUAAAAUUUUUGGUGCUCAUGAUGACUUAAUUUAAUAGUCAGAACGUGAGAACAGCUGAGAAUUUACAUUCCUGAAAACUAGAGGCGGUUGCCGAAUCGGAUAGCCGUUGGUUCUACAGCCACUAUAAUGAUCUGAAAAGCUGAAUGAGUUGCAUGAACACUGUCAGGAAUCAUAAUAGAACUCAGCUAAUUGGAUAGAGAAGGGAAUGUUGAUUUGAAGACAAUUACUAUAUAAAGAUUUUCUCAUUGCUGCUGUGCUGUUGCAUUAACUCAAGAAGUGGAGACACUUCUACAUGGAUAAGAAUUGUGUGAUUGAAUUGAUUGUGGAAUCAUCUCAGUGUUUUCAUAAAAUAUUCACUGUAUGUAGUCAAUUUUUUCCUCAGAGUUGAUGCUUACAAAUACUUGUCAAGUUGGAAAAAUUCACUUUUACUUUUAUUUGCAUCACACUUAAUAGAUUAGAAACUAGAUUGCUUUUAAUUGAGUCUUCAUUUACAACCUCAAGGAAUAUUCUGGGAUUACAGUCAAAUAUUACAGCACCAGAUUUAUUUGGUUUUGGCAUUCAAAUUCAGAGAUUCCCUCAGGCUGGAAAACUGCUAUAUCAACUGAACUACUAUAUCUCUAGCUAAAGAAUGUGGUUUUUCUCUGAUCCAGGAGUAGUGUUGUCCAACUCUACUCCUAUCUACUUAAAAGAUAGCACAGGAGGCCUGCACAUUUGAGGUCACCUUGACAACACUGAAACCUCUUCUUCCCAUCUCAACAAUAAAAAGGUGGUGAACAUCUUCACAUACACAUCAAAUAUGCCUUUCUGAAGGUUUCAUCUACAGCAUCUCCCAAAUACCAUUAUAUAUUUAUUGUUUCUGGAGUAUUAUUUUACCUUUAUUAUCUCACAACUCAUAUAGAAGAUUUCCAAGGAAUAGAAAUGACCGGCUCGUGGCAAGUAAUUGCCUGAAAUGUUCAAUACUUCUGUUUUCAGUAUAUCUUGGACUCUCAUAUUGUUUGUUGCAUAUUAUCUCAUUCAUAUUUUAUUUUGCAAAUGGAAGAAACUUUUCUAAGUGGGUUGCAUAGCUAAUGUACAUAAAUAUUUUUAUGAUACUUCAGAUUAUAACAAAAUUUUCUGAGUAAUUGAACCUCCCUCUAUACCAGUUUUGUUAUCAUUUGUGAGAUAUCUUCCUCCUUUGAAUAAGAAACUCAGAUUUUAGGUGGGCCUGAAAGAAGAUUGUUUGGCACAGUGGUGUUCUUUAGAGAAGAUGCUCUGGUGCUAUUUUUGCAGAUAUUACAGUCUCUCUCUAGGACAGCAAUAUGAGUAUGAUUUGCUUUUUCUCUAAUAUAACUACUGGAGACUUUGAAGCACUUGUAACUGAGUGGGUUGAGAAAUGUUGUCCUUGCAUUGAUAAGGAGAGCCAUAGUGAUGCUAUGUUGUAGAAUGUGUGGCAUCCUAUUUUUAUCGAUAUCACUUUUCAGGUUUCAGUAAAAUCUCAGUGUUUCAAAGUGAUUUUAGUUUUCUGUGUAAUGUGGGUUUUUUUCUUUGUUUUUCUCCUUAAACUAAGUAAAGUAAUGUAAAGUAGUGCUUAUUUUCAAUAUUAGUUGUGUGUUUCUAGACAAUAAGUCACCAGUUCAUUUGAAAAUGACUAUCUGCAUUUCUCAACCUGUUUUAAUAAUUGUAAGAGUGAAAAUAAUUGGUAAGAAUUUGAGUGUUUGGAUACAUAUGUCUGCAUGUGUGUAUGCGCAUGUCAGGUGUCUGUAGAAAUCAGAAAUAAAAGUCAGGAUUAUAUAAUAAUUAUAUUUUGAAUGUUUGAAUUGUUUCCUAAUACAUUACUUAAUAGUUGUCAGUAAGAAGGCUCAAUGGAAAAAGUCACCUGGGAACUCCAAUUGGAUCACUGGAACCCAGGUUAUAUGUAAGACAGAAUAUAGCUGAGAACAGGACACUUCUCAGAUUAUUUUUAAUCUCAUAAGUUUGUAGUACAAUCCGUAUCCCCCUUACUCAUUAUAUUAUUAUUAUAUUUUAGCGAUAUCCUGAGGUGCAUACUGAAUUCUUUUUUAAUACUCAUUUUUUAUAUGCAGUAUUGUUUUCUUCUUUUAAUUGUAAGGUUAAAUUAGUGUAUUUCAAUUAGUCUCUCAUGUUUACAUUUUCUUAGGUCAGAUUGCUUAUGACUCUAAUCAGAUACUGUUACAACUUCUCAGUAUGUGUUAAGGGCCACAAAACUUUGUAAAACUCUAGAUUUACAGACCAUAUUUUUGAAACUAGGAAUCUGUUCUAGUAGUACAAGAACAAUUAAGGCUAAUUAUUAAACUAUUCCCCCAUAAAUAGUUGCAAUACACAAAUCUUGGGCUAUAUUUGGAUUUUCACAGAUAGUUGUCUAACCUGUAGUCAGGUGUAUAGGUCUCGUUUCAUCAGACAAUCUUUGGUAGAUUUAGGAUUAGAAGGUACAGAAAGGAUAUCUAUUCUUGUACAAGUUUUUGAAUAUUCUACAUGAGUGUUUCUCAACCUAUGGGUCCCAACCCCUUUCUGGGUCAAAUACACCUUUCAUUGGGGUCACUUAAGACCAUUGGAAAGCACAGAUAUUUUACAUUACAAUUCAUAACAGUAGCAAAAUUAUAGUUAUGAAGUAGCAUUAAAAAUAAUUUGAUGGUAGGAGGUCCCUAUUAUAUGAAGAGAUGUAUUAAAGGACUGUCAUAUUAACCAUUUUAAAGUUAGAUGUUUUAGUUCAUUAUUAUAUCAACAUAUACUGUGAUGAAAGAAUUCUGUGGUCAUUCUUUGGUAGUCUGCUAUUCCAGUUCCAUACCUGCUUAUGAUAAGAGAUAAACUUUCAUGAUGUAUAUACUAGUCAGUAACUUUCUUAAGUUUAUAUAAAUGUACAUGGAAAUUUUAGAUGUAAGAUCUUUGUAUUAAUGAUUUUUCCAUUUAAUAUAUCAUAGUGGCUUAUGGAGUUUACAAAAAUAUGUUUUCUGCGGCUUGUGGGGCUGUUGAUGAUGUAUAUAAUUAUAUAACUAUGAUAAUAUUUUUGCAUUCCUGCUUAUAUAAUAGUUUUCCAGGUAUAGUAAUAUUAGAUCAUCAUCUGUAUAUGUCUUUGGUUUCUGUCAAUAUUGUAAAGUUACCCGCACAUGUUUUCUGGGUUAAGCCAGAGCAGUGAUAUAUUAUAGUGCUAAUUUUCAUAGUUUUGUCUUUACUAAGUUUCAAUGGCUUUGUAAAUAACAGCCAAUCUAAUAGGUGAAAUAAUAUUUUUAAAGCCUAAAUUAAGACUAAUUUAAAUGCUUAAUGGCCAUAAUUUUAUAAAACUAAAUAGAUUUUUAGUUGUAGAAGCAAAGUAAAGUUUCCAAAUUUUGCUAAGUUUACAUACUGAUACAGCAAAGGUUACAUAGAGAUACCUUGUCUCAAUAUUAGCAUAUUUUUCAUAAAUUGCUUGAGUAUACACUAUGGUAACAAGUUUUUAUUUAUAUUUAAUUUUGAUGUAAUUAUAGAACCACAUACUUUUUUAUAUAAUCUGACUUACUCUCUGCAUUCCUUUCAAUUAUUAUUUCCAUUACUCUUUCCCUCCCUAUUCUUCUCAUCUUAUAUUUGUUUAUACAUGCCAAUUUGUUUUCUGAACUGUGUUUUCAUUUAAGAUAUGCUGUUCACAUUGGCCAAAAUUUUUCUGUAGGUUUUUUAUAAAAUUGUGUUUAUGUUCCUUUAAUCUUGGUUUGAAAUAUAAGAACUGUUGAUUUUCUUGUUCAACUCUAAUAUUAACUAUAUUAUAAUAUAUUGCAAUGUAAUAUGUUAUAAUGUAGUAUUUUGGUAAGGAUUAUAUUAUACUAUAUUAUAUAGUUAUCCUCUAGAUUUCUGUUUCUUUUCUAAUGAAAGAAAGAAAGGGGUUGGUUCCAUUUAAGAAAAGAAGUGGAGAUGAAACAUAAUUAGAGGGAGGAGAAAUAUAAUUAUAAUAUAUUUUAUGAGACAAUAUCUAUAAAAGAAAGCAGAAUAAAAUUUAAGAAUAUCAGAUGCAUUAUUACUAGUUUAAAUGUAUGCCCUAUGUAUUAUUCAUAUUUACAUUUCAUUAGUUGGUUUAGUCUUGUUCCAUUCUGUGGGAUGAAGCAGUAUUUGCAAAAGCUAUGUUGCUUUCAUAUUAUUUAAUCAGAAUCAAUUCUGUAGACUAUUUUGGUUAUUCAUAACAUUGAAUUUCUUGCAAAUAACAUUUAGGCUUCAAGAGCCCUCAGCUUCUAAUUUUUUUCCUUGUAAAAGGAUUGAGGACAUAUAUUUGUCAUAGAAAACUUCAGAAUAAAUGUGUGUUAUCUUCAAUAAAUCAUGUCAAGUUUAAAUGCUUAUUAUCCCAAAAUGGAUUAUCAUUAGUUUAAUUCAAUGUGACAACUUUCUCCAAUGUUGAAGUUAUUUCUAAAUAAACAUUACAUACAAUGACU